rnacentral:lncRNA from 1 species
UUUCAAUCAUUUGUGUUCCAUGGAAUUGAUGUGUUCAGAAAAGCUAUUCCAAGAUUUUGUUGUCCCAAGCAAAAUACCUAAGAAUACCAGCAUGAAAUUAACUGUCUCUUGUUUUAUUUCAGUAAGUUGCAGAGCGACGCUCUGAGGGAGGCAAUUGCCUCAGUUACCAAUGACUCCCGUGAAAAGCAGCGCAAGUUUGUCGAAACCAUUGAGCUACAGAUUGGACUGAAGAACUAUGACCCUCAAAAGGACAAGCGUUUCAGUGGUUCUGUUAAGCUGCCUCACAUCCCUCGCCCUAAGAUGAAGGUUUGCAUGCUUGGUGAUGCUCAGCACGUUGAGGAGGUAUGCUAUGUUUGUACCAUUGUUUCCAUUUUUUGCAUUGAAUUGCCCGUUCUCAGAAUUUAAUCCUUUUCACUAGUGGUGAAGUAUUAUUUCUAUCAAAGCAUUGACUGGCUGUGGCUGUUAUGCUUGAUUUAAACUAUAUCGUGAAUCAGUCUAUAAUUUGUGAGUUUGUGUUAUGUCACUUCUGCUAUGCCUUGUUCACCACCAUUUAGAUUUAUCAUAUCUAGAUUCUAUGCUAUUUGCCUAUACCUGCUCUAAUAUCUUUUUACAAUGUGCUAUUCAGGCAGGGAGAAUAGGUCUGGACAGUAUGGAUGUGGAAGCCCUCAAGAAGAUGAACAAAAACAAGAAGCUAGUUAAGAAGCUCGCAAAGAAAUACCAUGCUUUCCUUGCAUCUGAGGCCAUCAUUAAGCAAAUUCCUCGUCUUCUUGGACCUGGUCUUAACAAGGCAGGCAAGGACAUCUAACUUCCAUCUAUUACAUUAUAUAGGCAUUUGUUGUGAUUUUUAAGUGCAAUGAGCUACUUCUCAUUAACUGUGAGAUAGACUGUAUAAACUACGUGUGGACGUUUCUUUGUGUCUGUUAUAAUAUGGCAACUUUGUUUCUUGAAUCAUAGUUCAUAUUUUUCUCUUCGUUAGUACAAUCAGUGUAAUUUUGAACUUUUGUCGCCUUGAUUCUGCUAUCAUUUUGUGAUUGCCUGACCCUAACUAGUCUGCAAUUAAUUAUCAUGAUUUUUACCACUCAAUAUGUUUGUACAUGGUUUGGUUUACUCGAGUUGCUCAUCUUACAUGAACAUCACUGCAGGAAAGUUCCCUACUUUGGUGUCUCAUCAGGAAUCCCUUGAAUCCAAGGUUAAUGAGACUAAGGCUACAGUUAAGUUCCAGCUGAAGAAGGUGCUUUGCAUGGGUGUUGCUGUUGGCAACUGCGGCAUGGAUGAGAAGCAAAUCUUCCAGAAUGUGCAAAUGAGCGUCAACUUCCUUGUGUCACUCUUGAAGAAGAAUUGGCAGAAUGUAUGUCUCAACCCUCGAUUUCCCUUGCAUCUGUGUAAAAUUCGUGCUUGUUCCGUUAUGAUAGAUCACUGAGUUUUGCUGACACCUUUUGUUUGUGUUUGCAGGUGAGAUGCCUGUACCUGAAGAGCACUAUGGGAAAGGUGU